UGGGGAAUAUUGGGCAAUGGGCGCAAGCCUGACCCAGCAACGCCGCGUGAAGGAAGAAGGUCUUCGGAUUGUAAACUUUUGUCUUAUGGGACGAUAAUGACGGUACCAUAGGAGGAAGCCACGACUAACUACGUGCCAGCAGUCGCGGUAAUACGUAGGUGGCGAGCGUUAUCCGGAAUUAUUGGGUGUAAAGGGUGCGUAGGCGGGGAGUAAAGUCAGAUGUGAAAGGCGUGUGCUCAACAUACGGAUUGCAUUUGAAACUUACUUUCUUGAGUGAAGUAGAGGCAAGCGGAAUUCCCAGUGUAGCGGUGAAAUGCGUAGAUAUUGGGAGGAACACCAGUGGCGAAGGCGGCUUGCUGGGCUUUUACUGACGCUGAGGCACGAAAGUGUGGGGAGCAAACAGG
rnacentral:rRNA from 1 species